rnacentral:rRNA from 1 species
CCCGCACAAGCAGCGGAGCGUGUGGUUUAAUUCGAUGCUACACGAAGAACCUUACCAGGGUUUGACAUGCAAGUGGUAGGAAGCCGAAAGGUGACCGACCCUUCGGGGAGCUUGCACAGGUGCUGCAUGGCUGUCGUCAGCUCGUGUCGUGAGAUGUUCGGUUAAGUCCGCUAACGAGCGCAACCCUCGCUGUGUGUUAUAUGUGUCACACGGGACUGCCGGUCUUAAGCCGGAGGAAGGUGGGGAUGAUGUCAAGUCAGCAUGGCCUUUAUAUCCUGGGCUACACACACGCUACAAUGGCCAACACAAUAGGUUGCUAAGCCGCGAGGUGGCGCCAAUCCAUAAAGUUGGUCUCAGUUCAGAUUGUAGGCUGCAACCCGCCUGCAUGAAGAUGGAGUUGCUAGUAACCGCAGGUCAGCUAUACUGCGGUGAAUACGUUCCCGGGGCUU